rnacentral:lncRNA from 1 species
UUUGGAUUCGUAUGAGGAAGAGUGAGCUUUCCACUGAGAAAAAUACUUGGAAGGCGUUAAUUCGCUGUGCUUCGUCCUUCAUUGAGACGAAGCUUCCGCCGAGGGGGUCGACGGCGGCGGAGGCGAGCGAGACAAGCAGAGACACAGGAAAUGUCUCUGGCCCUUUUCCAACCUCGCGUCGCCUCGGUACAAAGGCCAGACAAACGCGAGACGCGCGCGUGGACGGACAUCACACAUGACAAGAGUUGCUCCAGCGAAAGGUUGAAGCCCUUCUCGGGAGCGAGGCGGAGGCGUCUGGUCUCGCGAGGACCUCGAAUGCGGAGCUCUCCCUGGCGAAGUCUGGGGGCUCUACUGUCCGGUCGAGCGAGCUCGUAUUCAGCGUCGCUCUCUGUGCAGACUGAUGCGCGGACGGCUGGAAGCAGCAGCCAGAGAGAGGCCACGACGCGUACGAGACAAGCGCAAGUCGCCACCGAGGCAAGGAAGAAGGCAAGCGAAGAGCGAAGGCUGUUGUUGAGGGACGCACAGGCCGCCCUCGCAGCGAAGCAAGGCGGCUUCCGUGAGCCGCGACCUUCUGUCGGCCUUGUUGAAGAAGGAGAUCGGUCUGAGGAGAGACUGGAUGUCGCAAAAUCUCUCGCGGAAAGAGCUGCUGAACCAUUGGGUUAUAUCUCUCUGUCUGCAUGCACAAGAAGGAGCGCGCGCCUUCGCGCAUUUGCACGGCGCGUCUCUCACGGCGUUCUUCCGCGUCCUUUUUGCGGCUUUCCUC